AGAGCUGUAACUCAGUUGUAGAGUCCUUGCCUACCAAGUAUGAAACCUUGGGUUCAAUCCCCAGUAACUCAA
rnacentral:tRNA from 1 species